GCUGCCCUGUGUCCGGGGGACAAUAUAAAACAGGUCAGAAUCCUCUUGCCUUCGUACGCAGUUCAUCCCAAGAAGCAGCCGCUCCAGGAACCAAGGCAUCAUGCGGCCCCGGCUGCUCCUUGUUGCUGUCUUCCUGGCUCUCCUGGUCUUGCCUGAAGCUACCAGGGCCGAGGAGGAAUCCCUUCUGGACAAAGUGAAGGGCUAUGCCAAGGAUGUGGUUCAGAAGACCAGAGACUGGAUGACUGAAAGCUUCAGCUCCCUGAAAGACUCCUGGAACUCGUUCAAGAGCAAGUUCAAGUGACUUCUGGGAAUCUGCGUACAGUCCCACACAGUCUCCACCCUGAGGCCGUCUGAGAUCUAAGAACCCCAAGUCCACCCGUCUAUCCAUCCUACUAGCUCCUUGAGUCCCGCAGCCUCCAAGGGCUGCCCCCAAGGGUCACUUACAAGAACCGCAUUCUCAGUGCCCUCCCCGAACCCCCCCCUCCAAGACCUGGCCCGGUGUGUGCUGGCCUUCCAAUAAAGCUGGAUGAGAAACUGC